UACGUAGGGGGCUAGCGUUGUCCGGAAUCAUUGGGCGUAAAGAGCGCGUAGGCGGCCAGAUAAGUCCGGUGUGAAAGUCACAGGCUCAACCUGUGAAUGCCGCUGGAAACUGUCUGGCUAGAGUCCGGAAGGGGCGAGUGGAAUUCCUGGUGUAGCGGCGAAAUGCGCAGAUAUCAGGAGGAACACCAAUAGCGAAGGCAGCUCGCUGGGACGGUACUGACGCUGAGGCGCGAAAGCGUGGGGAGCAAACAGG
rnacentral:rRNA from 1 species